AGGGGUAUAACUCAGUGGUAGAACACAUGCGUGGUGUGCAUGAAGUCCUGGGUUCGAUCCCCAGUGCCUCUG
rnacentral:tRNA from 1 species